CCUACGGGUGGCAGCAGUAGGGAAUCUUCCACAAUGGACGAAAGUCUGAUGGAGCAACGCCGCGUGAGUGAAGAAGGGUUUCGGCUCGUAAAGCUCUGUCGGUAGUGAAGAAAGAUAGAGGUAGUAACUGGCCUUUAUUUGACGGUAAUUACUUAGAAAGUCACGGCUAACUACGUGCCAGCAGCUGCGGUAAUACGUAGGUGGCAAGCGUUGUCCGGAUGUAUUGGGCGUAAAGGGAGUGCAGGCGGUUCAAUAAGUCUGAUGUGAAAGCCUUCGGCUCAACCGGAGAAUUGCAUCAGAAACUGUUGGACUUGAGUGCAGGAGAGGAGGGUGGAACUCCAUGUGUAGCGGUGGAAUGCGUAGAUAUAAGGAAGAACACCAGUGGCGAAGGCGGCUCUCUGGUCUGCAACUGACGCUGAGGCUCGAAAGCAUGGGUAGCGAACAGGAUUAGAUACCCGUGUAGUC
rnacentral:rRNA from 1 species